rnacentral:rRNA from 1 species
GCCCUACGGGAGGCAGCAGUGAGGAAUAUUGGUCAAUGGGCGGGAGCCUGAACCAGCCAAGUCGCGUGAGGGAAGACGGUCCUAUGGAUUGUAAACCUCUUUAGGCGGGGAGCAAUGCCGGGCACGCGUGCCCGGGGGGAGAGUACCCGCAGAAUAAGCAUCGGCUAACUCCGUGCCAGCAGCCGCGGUAAUACGGAGGAUGCGAGCGUUAUCCGGAUUUAUUGGGUUUAAAGGGUGCGUAGGCGGAUUUUUAAGUCAGCGGUAAAAUUGCGGGGCUCAACCCCGUCGAGCCGUUGAACCUGCCG